UUGUCUUUUAAAUAAAGACCAGUAUGAAUGGCAAGACGAAAGUUCAACUGUCUCCCUAAAUUAAUCAAUGAAAUUGAUCUUCCCGUGCAGAAGCGGGAAUAAAAUUAUAAGACGAGAAGACCCUAUGGAGCUUUAAAUAUAUGAUCAACUGUAUAAUAUAAAAUUCAAUAGAUUUAACAUUAAAUAAAACAUUAUGAUCAAAAUUUUAGGUUGGGGCGACCACGGAGAAAAACAAAACCUCCGAGAUGAAAAGAGUAUCUUAAUUUAUGAACUACAGUUCUAAUAAAUAAAAUAUUUAACAUAAUUGAUCCAAUUUAUUGAUCAACGAACUAAGUUACCCUAGGGAUAACAGCGCAAUCCUUUCCAAGAGUCCCUAUCGACGAAUGGGUUUACGACCUCGAUGUUGGAUCAGGACACCCCAAUGGUGCAGCCGCUAUUAAAGGUUCGUUUGUUCAACGAUUAAAGUCCUA
rnacentral:rRNA from 1 species